rnacentral:rRNA from 1 species
GAGAGAGACAUGCGCGCAUAUCAAUAAGCGGAGGAAAAGAAACUAACAAGGAUUCCCUUAGUAACGGCGAGUGAAGCGGGAAGAGCUCAAAUUUGAAAUCUUCAAGGUUUUACCUUGACGAAUUGUAGUUUAAAGAAGUGUUUUCUGCUGAGGUUUUGGUAAAAGUUCUUUGGAAUAGGACAUCAUAGAGGGUGAGAAUCCCGUAUUUGACCAUUAUUUUCAGCUUUGUGAUACACUUUCAAAGAGUCGGAUUGUUUGGGAAUGCAGUCCAAAAUGGGUGGUAAAUUUCAUCUAAAGCUAAAUAUUGGCGAGAGACCGAUAGCGAACAAGUACCGUGAGGGAAAGAUGAAAAGAACUUUGAAAAGAGAGUUAAACAGUGCGUGAAAUUGUCAAAAGGGAAGCGUUUGACACCAGUGUUGUUUUCUCGAAAAUCAAUUAAAAAUGGCUCGAUUUUGUAUUGUUGAGACCUUAAAAGCUCACUGUACAUUUUUCGUGUCUUUUUUAAUGCACUUUUCGUCUAACAAGUCAACAUCAGUUUCUUUUGUUGUAAAAGGGUCAUUGGAAGGUGGCUUUCUUUUCGGAGAAAGUGUUUAUAGCCUUUGGCCUCUGCAAUCGGAAGAGACUGAGGUCUGCAGCGUAGACUCUUCGGGGUUAGAUACAUUUGUGCUAAGUUAUAGCUUUUUAUAGACAACUUGUUGACUAUAAUUAGUCUUGUAGCUUACUCGCUUAUGCUAUUUUACCUACGCUUAGGAUGUUGAAGAUGUAGCACAUCAU